rnacentral:lncRNA from 1 species
UUGAUGCUCGGGCUCCCUGUCCAGCUCCGGUGGCCAAAGCGUGGGCAGAGACACGGUCAUGCCCCAAGGGACAAGGUGAAGUGAUGGUGACGUUUCUCAGCCCACCCGACCAGCUGCAUCCAAACUGCGCACUGAGCUGCGUAACAGGGUGUCCGGGAGCACCGGCCUCGGGAUGCGUCUGGGAAGUCGGGGUGUUUCCUACCGAGGGAGAAGGUCACACCGAGAAGCUGUAAAAUGAGCAUUUAACUGCCUGAGGGUGGAUCUGAGCUCUCCCCGUGCACACCAGCCUUGCUGCCCGUCUUGGUUUUCCAAGCAGGAGCUGCCCAGCACCCACAGGUUAUUCCCCACCCAACUCUCCAGCCUGGCCAGGUCCCGCUGGAUGGCAGCACAGCCUUCUGAGCACGGUCCAAGAAAAUCCCCCCCCUCAAAAAAAAUUGAUCCUAACCAGGAUGUUUCCUGUCAAAGAAGCUGAGGAUGCCGUGAUCACCAUGGCUGCAGUGAUCCCCCAAGCCCAGGGAGCAUCAGAACCCCUCCAUUUCCAGCCAAAAAUGAAGCACAAGCACAGCAUGUUUGGGGAUUUUGUGGAAGGUUCCAGCGGCUCUGAGCCAGGACCAGACAGCUUUCACUCUCUCCGCUGGCAGCUGUGAACCGCAGCGGGAAUGUGGCCGCCUAAUCCCGGCUCCGAGAGGCACCCGCCAGAGGAGAUGCCGUCCAGGGAGCGCGGGCUCCUGCCAGAGAUGCUCCUGUUUG